UACGUAGGGUGCGAGCGUUAAUCGGAAUUACUGGGCGUAAAGCGCGCGUAGGCGGUGAUCUUUGUCAGAGGUGAAAGCCCGGGGCUCAACUCCGGAAUUGCCUUUGAAACGGGAUCGCUUGAGUCCGAGAGAGGAUGGCGGAAUUCCUAGUGUAGAGGUGAAAUUCGUAGAUAUCAGGAGGAACACCGGUGGUGUAGACGGCUCUCUGGACCGUAACUGACGCUGAGACACGAAAGCGUGGGUAGCAAACAGG
rnacentral:rRNA from 1 species